rnacentral:rRNA from 1 species
CCUACGGGAGGCAGCAGUGGGGGAUAUUGCACAAUGGGGGAAACCCUGAUGCAGCGACGCCGCGUGUGGGAAGACGGUCCUCUGGAUUGUAAACCACUGUCCCCAGGGACGAAGAUGACGGUACCUGGGGAGGAAGCUCCGGCUAACUACGUGCCAGCAGCCGCGGUAAUACGUAGGGAGCGAGCGUUGUCCGGAAUUACUGGGUGAAAAGGGAGCGUAGGCGGGACUGCAAGUUGGGUGUCAAAUCUACCGGCUCAACCGGUAGCCGCACUCAAAACUGCAGUUCUUGAGUGAAGUAGAGGCAGGCAGAAUUCCUAGUGUAGCGGUGAAAUGCGUAGAUAUUAGGAGGAACACCAGUGGCGAAGGCGGCCUGCUGGGCUUUUACUGACGCUGAGGCUCGAAAGUGUGGGGAGCAAACAGGAUUAGAUACCCCAGUAGUC